GAGUUGGGGGAGAGGACCAGAACCACCUGCUGGAGAAGGGGAGCUACGGGGGCCGGGCAGGGUCCAAACGCCUCACGUAGGCGGCGGCGCCACGGUCUUCGGGGUCACAGGGAAGAGAAGGGCUCUCCUCAAGCGGGUGGAAGGAGGGAGGCCUCCCGAGGGAGUGAGACUCUAGGCCACUCCCCCGCAGCAAGGCAGGAUCACCUGCGACGCGGAGAGCGGUUAGAGGGCCCUGGAGUGGAAAAGGGCAGUGGGACCUGGUAGCUUGGGUUCCCUGCAACUUGGGGUUCGACCUCCAGGCAAUGAAGUAGGGAUGGUCCUGCAAGUCAAGAUUCCAGUAGCAAGAGUGCAUCAGAUCUCUGUAAGGAAAAUAACUAACAUUGCUCAGUUCCCUGUAGAGUUGCAGGGCGCUUUAACGUUAUCUCCCUUGGUUCUCCAUCAGGUCGUAGUGGACUAAUUUUACAGGCGAAGUUAAGUGACUUACCCAAAACCUCACAGCUAAUAAACGGCAGAGCCGGCACCCAGCUGUACUGGCUUCCAAUUCUGUUAGCUUACCAGCGCAUCACAUUAUCUCCAUAAAUCCCCAUGAUUCAACUAAUAUUAGACGCCCCACAGCUGGACCCUGGACACGGUGACUCUGAUUCAAUUAUGCAGAUGACCACAAACCUCUGGGGUUGGCAGAGCCACAAGAAAGAAGGUGCCUGGAUGAAGGAGAGCUACCCACUGACCUGGACACCCAAUUAUAGGAUAGACAGUGAAGUGCAACUACAGCCCGCAAAUGAAAAUGAAUAAUAUUAAUCCAGCCCCUCAAGGCAGUCAUCUGUCUUAGAGCUAUUGGAAUCCUGGAUCAUUGUGGGAAAUGAAAGGAACUGGUUUUUAGCAAGGAGACCAAGAAACUCUACUCCCUAGGGGCUAGCAAUGAGAGAAAGGAAGCCUUAAGUCUUUGAGCACAGGGUGACAGUUUGGGUCCUAUGUGAGAUGAUCAAAUCCACAGCAACAGAGGAAAGGACAAAAGGAAAAGGUCUGUAGCAGCACUACAUCAGAAAAAAAUGGAUUCAGCAAGGAAGUGGGUGACUCUGAGUAAGCAUCCAUGUCAGGAUGGUUUUGCUACAGCCCCCAACAAAACAUUAAUUAGUUUAAGAAACUCAACUUCGGUUUACAAGUGUUUUGGAAAAGUAACAAAGAACAACAUAAGUAACAAAAUAAUUCCUCAGGUCAUUACAAUGGAUGUUUCCUAUAACUGAAAAAUAUGGUUAAAAAGUACAAACUACAUUUGGUGUGCAAACUGUUUAGUUCUUAAUUCCAAACUAAAUUGUACAUUAUAUAGUAAAAUUUUGACCAGAAAAACUUGGAGAUUUUAGUAAAAAUUUCAUUGACAUAUUUACAGCCCCAGUGUAGUUUGGCCGGUGUGCAAAGCCUGACUAAGGAGGUUAUAGAAAAAAAUAUCAGACUUAAGCCCAUCAAAUCAUUAAAGAUGCUUUGGCAAGACUUCAAGCUUUACAGACAUACUCCAUGUGACCAGAGAUGUCAUAACCAGUGUUCUUUCUCUUGAAAUGUUAGAAUGCUUUAGUUUUAUUCUAUAAUUUCCGUGUUCCAUGGAACAGCAUUCAUUUCUCCCAGUUUUAGUAACAUAAUGAGAGAUAUAUUGAGUGUAUAGAGCAGGAAAGACAUGAAAACUUAUAUUGCAUAAUAUUAGCAAACAUAAAAGAUAGCAUUAUAAAUUUUUAAAAAUCCAAAAAAAUUCCAGAAACAGAACAGUGAGCAUGUUUAAAAAGUCAGGACUGACCGUUUCUGUGAGUUCUGAGGACUGUAAAUGAGCCUCAAUCCAUAAAGCUGAGAGGUUGUCUUAGCCCACAUAUGCAGCAGGUGACUCCCUCUGACAAAAGCAAGAUUUAGCUGGAUCUUUUAAAAAAAAAA
rnacentral:lncRNA from 1 species